CCUACGGGCGGCAGCAGUGGGGGAUAUUGCACAAUGGGGGAAACCCUGAUGCAGCGACGCCGCGUGGGUGAAGAAGUAUUUCGGCAUGUAAAGCCCUAUCAGCAGGGAAGAAAGAAGACGGUACCUGACUAAGAAGCCCCGGCUAACUACGUGCCAGCAGCCGCGGUAAUACGUAGGGGGCGAGCGUUAUCCGGAUUCACUGGGUGUAAAGGGAGCGUAGACGGCCGUGCAAGCCAGGAGUGAAAGCCCGGGGCCCAACCCCGGGACUGCUCUUGGAACUGUGCGGCUGGAGUGCGGGAGGGGCAGGCGGAAUUCCUGGUGUAGCGGUGAAAUGCGUAGAUAUCAGGAGGAACACCGGCGGCGAAGGCGGCCUGCUGGACCGCGACUGACGUUGAGGCUCGAAAGCGUGGGGAGCGAACAGGAUUAGAUACCCGAGUAGUC
rnacentral:rRNA from 1 species